rnacentral:rRNA from 1 species
GAUGAACGCUAGCGGCAGGCCUAACACAUGCAAGUCGAGGGGCAGCGGGGUGUAGCAAUACACUGCCGGCGACCGGCGCACGGGUGCGUAACGCGUAUACAAUUUGCCUUAUACUGGGAGAUAGCCCGGAGAAAUCCGGAUUAAUAUCGCAUAAAAUUGAGAGGUCGCAUGAUUUCACAAUUAAAGCUACGGCGGUAUAAGAUGAGUAUGCGUCCUAUUAGCUAGUUGGUGAGGUAACGGCUCACCAAGGCGACGAUAGGUAGGGGGCCUGAGAGGGUUAUCCCCCACACUGGUACUGAGACACGGACCAGACUCCUACGGGAGGCAGCAGUGAGGAAUAUUGGUCAAUGGAGGCAACUCUGAACCAGUCAUGCCGCGUGCAGGAUGAAUGGCCUAUGGGUUGUAAACUGCUUUUAUUUGGGAAUAAACCCUCUUAACGUGUAAGAGGCUGAAGGUACCAAAAGGAAUAAGGACCGGCUAACUCCGUGCCAGCAGCCGAC